UACAGAGGUCUCGAGCGUUUGUUCGGAUUCAUUGGGCGUAAAGGGCGCGUAGGCGGCGGGGUAAGUCUGGUGUGAAAUCUCGGAGCUCAACUCCGAAACUGCACUGGAUACUGCUCUGCUAGAGGGCUGGAGAGGAGAUCGGAAUUCACGGUGUAGCAGUGAAAUGCGUAGAUAUCGUGAGGAAGACCAGUGGCGAAGGCGGGUCUCUGGACAGUUCCUGACGCUGAGGCACGAAGGCCAGGGGAGCAAACGGG
rnacentral:rRNA from 1 species